rnacentral:rRNA from 1 species
UACGUAGGGGGCAAGCGUUGUCCGGAAUUAUUGGGCGUAAAGCGCGCGCAGGCGGCGAUUUAAGUCUGAAGUUUAAUCCCGGGGCUCAACUCCGGAUCGCUUCGGAAACUGGGUUGCUUGAGGGUUGGAGAGGUGACUGGAAUUCUCGGUGUAGCAGUGAAAUGCGUGGAUAUCGAGAGGAACACUCGUGGCGAAGGCGAUCACCUGGGGUUGUUCUGACGCUGAGGAGCGAAAGCUAGGGGAGCAAACGGG